rnacentral:rRNA from 1 species
GGAAGGUAUAGCAAUAGCUAAUUGUAUUAACAAAUAGUUUUUACAAUAUCGAUUUAAUCGGCUAAAAUUCUAGGUAGAUUUAUGAUGAUGACAUUAUCUAUCUAUGUGUCUUGACCAAAUUACGUGCCAGCUGUCGCGGUAAGACGUAGGAGACUAGUGUUAUUCAUCUUUAAUAGGUUUAAAGCGUACCUAGACGGUAAUUAAAGCCUACAUCAGGUACUUGUUUACUAGAGUUAAAUGUAAGGGUGUAUUAAAGUACUGUUGAGUGUAGAGAUGAAAUUCGUUGAUACCAAAUAAUUGGCACAGGUAUAGGCGAAAGCAUCACUUUAUGUAAUAACUGACGUUGACGGACGAAGGCUUUGUGUCGCGAACAGGAUUAGAUACCCCAGUAGUCUUAGCAGAAAAUUAUGAGUGUCAUAGGUUAGAUUAUAUCUGGUCUAUAAAUGAAAGUGUAAGCACUCCACCUCAAGAGUAAUUUGGCAACAUUGGAACUGAAAUCAUUAGACCGUUUCUGAAACCAGUAGUGAAGUAUGUUGUUUAAUUUGAUGAUCCGCAAAGAACCUUACCACAAUUUGAAUAUAAAUGAUUUAUUUUUACAAGCGUUGCACGGCUGUCUUCAGUUAAUGUCGUGAGAUAUUGGUUUAUUCCAUUAAAUUAACGUAAACCCGUACUUUAUUUUUAUAUAAAGUUUUUCAUUCGCUAUAAUGGAUGUGAUAACAGGGACUAAGACAAGUCAUCAUGGC